rnacentral:rRNA from 1 species
AAACUGGGUAUCGCUAGCCAUGCGAGUCAAUGUUCUUCGUGAACAUGGCGUACUGCUCAGUAACACGUGGAUAACCUGCCCUUAGGACUGGCAUAACCCCGGGAAACUGGGGAUAAUUCCGGAUAGUUCAUGGUAGUUGGAAUGCUCCAUGAUCGAAAGCUAUUGCGCCUAAGGAUGGGUCUGCGGUCUAUCAGGUAGUAGUGGGUGUAAUGUACCUACUAGCCGACGACGGAUACGGGUUGUGGGAGCAAGAGCCCGGAGAUGGAUUCUGAGACAUGAAUCCAGGCCCUACGGGGCGCAGCAGGCGCGAAAACUUUACAAUGCGGGAAACCGCGAUAAGGGGACACCGAGUGCCAGCAUCUUAUGUUGGCUGUCCGCAUGUAUAAAUCACAUGUGUUAGCAAGGGCCGGGCAAGACCGGUGCCAGCCGCCGCGGUAACACCGGCGGCCCGAGUGGUGGCCACUAUUAUUGGGUCUAAAGGGUCCGUAGCCGGUUUGGUCAGUCUUCCGGGAAAUCUGACGGCUUAACCGUUAGGCUUUCGGGGGAUACUACCAGGCUUGGGACCGGGAGAGGUAAGAGGUACUACGGGGGUAGGAGUGAAACCUUGUAAUCCUCGUGGGACCACCAGUGGCGAAGGCGUCUUACCAGAACGGGUCCGACGGUGAGGGACGAAAGCUGGGGGCACGAACCGGAUUAGAUACCCGGGUAGUCCCAGCCGUAAACUAUGCUCGCUAGGUGUCAGGGACGGUGCGACCGUUUCUGGUGCCGCAGGGAAGCCGUGAAGCGAGCCACCUGGGAAG